GCCUUCGUGGUGAAACGGUAGCACGUUCGGCUCGUAUUCGAGAGGUCCAGGUUCGAGUCUCGGCAAGUGCA
rnacentral:tRNA from 1 species